CCUUGAGGAAACGGGCCGAGAUGAGAGCUGUGGAAGAUUGGAACGGGGAGAGUGGACCGAAGAGGCGUCUCUUCAUUCGGUUUAUAGCAGGGCGUGGUGGCUGAGGAAUUCUAGGAGUUGAAGUCCACAAGUCAUAAAAGGGCCAACUUUGAAGACCCCUGGUUUAUAGUGUGGUAUAGGUUGUAGUAUCUCUUAUGUAGUACAUAAGGGUAGUCAUUUCGCCGUGUAGGGAAAGAUGAAAGAGGUGCUUUGGAGAAUAGCUUGACUUCCUCUUCUUUGUGCCAAUCCCUGAGAUAUUGGAACACUGCUAUCAACUUUGGAACUAUUACAAGGCCGAUGUCAACGCUGUGACAAUGGAUGUCGUUGCUCUGACAACUGAGGAUCAGCAGCCAUUUUUACUUUUACUUCUAACGUGUCUUUUCUAUUCUUUUAGAGUUCAGAUGUAGAAGGGGGUAUGGGGUAAAUGCUUGAGGGUUUAGCUAGCCAUAAUGAUGUAGAAGUGUGGGAACUCAAGGACAUGGUCUGAUAAGGAAUUGGUGGGCUGAGAAGCUGGUGAGAAAAGCCCGCAGCUUGUGUUAAUUGGGGAAUGCGAUUUAUGACAGCGUGUGUGGGGUGAAAAUUGCAACUAGUUACUUUGUAUCUAGGAGGAGGGAAUCUCAGUUUUGGGUUCAACUAUGUAAGUGCCGAUAUUUUGUUUCCUAAUAAAAUGUUCUUUAAGGAAGAA